rnacentral:tRNA from 1 species
GGUGAUGUGGCUCAGUAGGAGAGCACCUGUCUAGCAUACCUGAGAUCCUGGGUUCAAUCCCCAGCACUACAA